rnacentral:rRNA from 1 species
CCCUUAGAUGUUCUGGGCCGCACGCGCGCUACACUGAUGCAUUCAACGAGUCUAAAACCUGCUCUGAUAGGGGUGGGUAAUCUUUUGAAUGUGCAUCGUGAUUGGGAUAGAUGAUUGCAAUUUUUCAUCUUCAACGAGGAAUGCCUAGUAAACGCAAGUCAUCAGCUUGCAUUGAUUACGUCCCUGCCCUUUGUACACACCGCCCGUCGCUCCUACCGAUUGAGUGGUCCGGUGAGGCUUUGGGAUCUAAGCGAAAAGAGCGUUUCGCUCCUUUUGCUGGGAGAACUCAGUCGAACCUUAUCAUUUAGAGGAAGGAGAAGUCGUAACA